GGAAUGGCAGUGAUGUCUCAGCUCUGCUCUGGGAACCUACAAAGCAAAGGAAGCCUGGGAUGACAGAACAGAUACAACAGCUGCCUUACUGAGGUGACCCAGAUCUAUCCUAAAUCUUGAAAGGUCUUGACUACAGCUGACUACAGCGAGGAGAUGAAGCUUGUCUUCCUGUUCUCUACUGAGCCUGCCCUGCCCAGUUCUGCAUCUGAGAAGCAUCUCCAGACUGAGCUCCACAUGGAACUGCUUUUGGAGAGGAACAAGAUUCCUAUUCAUCCCGGGGCUCCUCCGUGCCACAGAGCCGUAGGAAAGCCACCAUCAACUGGAAGCUUCCCCCCUGUUGCUUGACCCCCAAUACUUUUAACAAAAAGCACUGCAUCAAAGCUGUCAGCUAUGAAUGGCUCAGCAAUUUCAUCAUUCACUGGAGCUGUAGUGAACAGUACUUGCCUUUUCUAAAAUGAUACACAGCUAAGAAUUUUUUCUGUCGCAUUGCUGGUGUUGUGAAGGACAUGUGAUCACAGGAGAGUCUUAUAAAUACCAGUUUCCUCUAUUUUUAUCAAGCUUCCUUAUCUGAUUUUCUUUAGCAACUGUUACCCCUUCUGUCAUUAAGGGGUGCUCUGUAGCUCAGAUGUUGCACUUUAAUUUUAUAUUUCCUGCAGGAAAAUGACCGGAAAACUGAUUUUCAAUCGUCUUUGGAUGCUUUCAGCUUUCACUGGAAAGACAAACCUCAUUUUUUCAUUAACAUUGAUCAGGUUUGGUCCAAAAAGGUACCAGCAAGAAAGAUACUUUAAGCAUUGUUCAACAAACUUAACAAAAUAAGACCACUACCCUGGCUGAGGCUAGUCAGCAUUACCAUAUAAAUCCAAAUGCAAUUUCCAUUACAACUGCUGUUUUUCAGUUUUGCCCCACUGUCCCACUGCCAUGUUCUUGCAGAUCAGGAACAGCUCCACUCUUGGUAGGUGGAAUCAUACAAUCAUGAAGGUUGGAAAAGACCACUACGAUCAUUUAGUCCAAACAUUAACCCAUGCCUGUGGCCACUCUAGACCAUGUUCCUGAGUGCCACAUCCACACGGUUCUUGAACACCUCUGGAGAUGGUGACUCCACCACCUCCCUGGGCAGCCUGUGCUAGUGCCUCACCAAGUCAGCCAGGACUCAGUUCAGCCCAAAUUACAGUUGCA
rnacentral:lncRNA from 1 species